AGUCCAUUUACUUCAAAAUUCGUCCAAGACCGGUUAGCACAUGUUGAAAAAAAUUUUGGUGACCUCUGUGUGUCUUUUAAUUCUUAUACUAGAAAAACUGCAAGAAUCCGGGACAAAGGUGAUGAAAUAUCGCAGCUGAUUGUCAAAUACGUAGACAAAGAAACCUUGAACCCCUCUUCCAAGAAAUGUCUCACGACUUUUGCCGAGAAUUUGUCCACAAUUCAAGAUUAUCGGCAGGCUGAGGUGCAACGCCUUGAUGCCAAUGUCUUGAGACUUCUCUCUGAUUAUGGGCCCAAGUGUAAACAAAAGAAGAAUGAAUUAAAGACUUCAUUCGCAGCUCAAGAGCGUGAAGGAAAGAAAAGACAAGAGAUGAACAAAUUACUCCUUCGAUGUCCCACC